rnacentral:piRNA from 1 species
AUUGUAUAUACAAGAACAAAUGUAGGAC